rnacentral:rRNA from 1 species
GACGAACGCUGGCGGCGUGCUUAACACAUGCAAGUCGAACGGUAAGGCCCUUCGGGGUACACGAGUGGCGAACGGGUGAGUAACACGUGGGUGAUCUGCCCUGCACUUCGGGAUAAGCCUGGGAAACUGGGUCUAAUACCGGAUAGGACCACUGCCUGCAUGGGUGGGGGUGGAAAGCUUUUGCGGUGUGGGAUGGGCCCGCGGCCUAUCAGCUUGUUGGUGGGGUGAUGGCCUACCAAGGCGACGACGGGUCGCCGGCCUGGGAGGGUGACCGGCCACACUGGGACUGAGAUACGGCCCAUGCUCCUACGGGAGGCAGCAGUGGGGAAUAUUGCACAAUGGGCGCAAGCCUGAUGCAGCGACGCCGCGCGAGGGAUGACGGCCUUCGGGUUGUAAACCUCUUUCAGCACCGACGAAGCGCAAGUGACGGUAGGUGCAGAAGAAGGACCGGCCAACUACGUGCCAGCAGCCGCAGUAA